rnacentral:lncRNA from 1 species
CAGAAGGAUGAGAGACAAGAAUUCAGACAGUAUAAUGAUGAGGGGAGGAUGCAUAUGGAGGGAGAAGAUAAGUAAUUUCCAUCUGUUUUACAGCAGCAUCUGGUUUAUUCUAGGCAGCAUAACUGGUCACAUCUUCAUAAGCUUCAGUGCUGGCAAAGGCUCCUGUGUGUGGAGCCCUCACAGACAUUAGCAAAAGCUGAGGUAAAGUGAGAAGGAUUUGGUCUUGCUAAAGCAAUGAGCAGCUUUAAUCUUAUAUUUCGAAGAAAAACUGGUUAUGCAUGCAACAGCAGCACAAAAAGAGCGAUACAAUCUAGACACGGAUCCACAGACCUCAACAUCAAAAUAAAAGUCAUGUGCAAAACAUACUCUUGGUUUUCUACACAAAAGCCACAACUAAGGCUCUCUCCUUGGAGGAUCUACCCAGUGGCUAUGAUAUCUCCAUUCAAUCGGACUGGGCAGGAAAUCCCAGAAUCCUGGAGGGAUGUAUCUGCCCCAUCUCAUCCAUGAGUCAUCCAGGAUGAAGGGGUCACAAUGGCAAAAGUUCGUGUGUUCCCAUUAUGUUCCCACACAAACACCUCUGAGCGAAGGCCCUGAGGCACACGGCUCCCUGGCACAGCCCGCAGCAGGAUAACACCUGUUCCAUCACCACCGCGGCUGCAUUUCCCUCCCCUCUCUCUGCCCUGGCUGCCUCCCAGCCCCAAGCCACCCUAAACCAACCCAGGACUGCACAGCACCACCCUUUUCUGCCACAGCCCACAAGCACCACCGAACACCACCUAUGUUUACAGGAUAAGAGCCUGUGGCUUCACCACCCAAACCCAGCAGGAAGGCACCUCACUUUCCUGCACCACUGCACCAGGUGAGCUGGGGCCGGAGGAACUGAGCCAUGGUGGCUGGGCAUGGCCACUUGUGGUGAUGCCUUGGAGGAGCUGGUGCGUGUGAGCUGUGCCCAGAGCAGCUGUUCCAGGUGUGCAGGAACACCACCCGGCUGGCGGUGGGCAAAACAGGCGGGCUGCAGAUCUGGCUGCCUUCACACGGCCUCGCGGGCUGAUGGUGGAAAGCGAUGCCCUCAGUCAGGCUCUCAAAAUAAGGGCAAAAAACCAGAAACGGCAGAAGGGACGGAACUGAGGGCAACAAAGGGAAGUCAUGAGAGGAGGGGAGCGUGCUGCUGAAUGACUCAGUUAUGCUUUAAAUGUCUUUUUUUUGCAGUUUACGUUGUUGGAAUGCGUAAUCCAUUCACCAUUACUGAAUGCAAUUCUCUGCUCACGGUGUUGCAACUUGUAUGUGAAUUUUAAUCUUGAAAGGAUUAAUGUGCAGGGAGAGGGAGGGAGCUGGUAGUUUGGAUUGUAUUGCUAAUAUAUUUAAUAAAACUAAUAUAAAGUAACA